rnacentral:rRNA from 1 species
GACGAACGCUGGCGGCGUGCUUAACACAUGCAAGUCGAACGGAAAGGCCCUGCUUGCGGGGUGCUCGCGUGUCGAACGGGUGAGUAACACGUGGGUGAUCUGCCCCUUACUUUGUGGUAAGCCUUGGAAACAGGGUCUAUUACAGGAGAGAGCAAUGCCUUAGGCGGGGUGGUGGAAGGAUUGGUUUCGGUGAGGGGUGAGCUCUCGGCGUAUCAGCUUGUUGGUGGGGUGUUGGGCUACAACGACGGCGAGGGGUAGCCGGCCGGAGAGGGUGGACGGCCACCUCGGGAGUGCGGUGCGGCGCAGCAGACUACGGCAGGAAGCAGUGGGGAAGAUUGUACAACGGGGGGAGGACUGAUGCAGCGACGCCGCGUGGGGGGUGAUGGCCGUCGGGGUGUAAAAUCCUGCCAGCGAUGAUGAAGACCUUGUGGUGACGGUAGUGGGAGAAGAAGCACCGGCUAACUACGUG